AUUGAACGCUGGCGGCAUGCCUUACACAUGCAAGUCGAACGGCAGCACGGGUGCUUGCACCUGGUGGCGAGUGGCGAACGGGUGAGUAAUACAUCGGAACAUGUCCUGCCCAUGGGGAUAGCCCGGCGAAAGCCGGAUUAAUACCGCAUACGAUCUACGGAUGAAAGCGGGGGACCUUCGGGCCUCGCGCUAUAGGGUUGGCCGAUGGCUGAUUAGCUAGUUGGUGGGGUAAAGGCCUACCAAGGCGACGAUCAGUAGCUGGUCUGAGAGGACGACCAGCCACACUGGGACUGAGACACGGCCCAGACUCCUACGGGAGGCAGCAGUGGGGAAUUUUGGACAAUGGGCGAAAGCCUGAUCCAGCAAUGCCGCGUGUGUGAAGAAGGCCUUCGGGUUGUAAAGCACUUUCGUCCGGAAAGAAAUCCUUGGCUCUAAUACAGUCGGGGGAUGACGGUACCGGAAGAAUAAGCACCGGCUAACUACGUGCCAGCAGCCGCGGUAAUACGUAGGGUGCGAGCGUUAAUCGGAAUUACUGGGCGUAAAGCGUGCGCAGGCGGUUUGCUAAGACCGAUGUGAAAUCCCCGGGCUCAACCUGGGAACUGCAUUGGUGACUGGCAGGCUAGAGUAUGGCAGAGGGGGGUAGAAUUCCACGUGUAGCAGUGAAAUGCGUAGAGAUGUGGAGGAAUACCGAUGGCGAAGGCAGCCCCCUGGGCCAAUACUGACGCUCACGCACGAAAGCGUGGGGAGCAAACAGGAUUAGAUAACCUGGUAGUCCACGCCCUAAACGAUGUCAACUAGUUGUUGGGGAUUCAUUUCCUUAGUAACGUAGCUAACGCGUGAAGUUGACCGCCUGGGGAGUACGGUCAUUGCAUUAAAACUCAAAGGAAUUGACGGGGACCCGCACAAGCGGUGGAUGAUGUGGAUUAAUUCGAUGCAACGCGAAAAACCUUACCUACCCUUGACAUGGUCGGAAUCCCGCUGAGAGGUGGGAGUGCUCGAAAGAGAACCGGCGCACAGGUGCUGCAUGGCUGUCGUCAGCUCGUGUCGUGAGAUGUUGGGUUAAGUCCCGCAACGAGCGCAAAAAUUGUCCUUAGUUGCUACGCAAGAGCACUCUAAGGAGACUGCCGGUGACAAACCGGAGGAAGGUGGGGAUGACGUCAAGUCCUCAUGGCCCUUAUGGGUAGGGCUUCACACGUCAUACAAUGGUCGGAACAGAGGGUUGCCAACCCGCGAGGGGGAGCUAAUCCCAGAAAACCGAUCGUAGUCCGGAUUGCACUCUGCAACUCGAGUGCAUUUCGGCUGGAAUCGCUAGUAAUCGCGGAUCAGCAUGCCGCGGUGAAUACGUUCCCGGGUCUUGUACACACCGCCCGUCACACCAUGGGAGUGGGUUUUACCAGAAGUGGCUAGUCUAACCGCAAGGAGGACGGUCACCACGGUAGGAUUCAUGACUGGGGU
rnacentral:rRNA from 1 species